GACGAACGCUGGCGGCGUGCCUAAUACAUGCAAGUAGAACGCUGAAGGAGGAGCUUGCUCUUCUGGAUGAGUUGCGAACGGGUGAGUAACGCGUAGGUAACCUGCCUGGUAGCGGGGGAUAACUAUUGGAAACGAUAGCUAAUACCGCAUAAGAGUAGAUGUUGCAUGACAUUUACUUAAAAGGUGCAAUUGCAUCACUACCAGAUGGACCUGCGUUGUAUUAGCUAGUUGGUGGGGUAACGGCUUACCAAGGCGACGAUACAUAGCCGAACUGAGAGGGUGAUCGGCCACACUGGGACUGAGACACGGCCCAGACUCCUACGGGAGGCAGCAGUAGGGAAUCUUCGGCAAUGGACGGAAGUCUGACCGAGCAACGCCGCGUGAGUGAAGAAGGUUUUCGGAUCGUAAAGCUCUGUUGUAAGAGAAGAACGAGUGUGAGAGUGGAAAGUUCACACUGUGACGGUAUCUUACCAGAAAGGGACGGCUAACUACGUG
rnacentral:rRNA from 1 species